ensembl:misc_RNA Metazoa_SRP Metazoan signal recognition particle RNA
GCCGGGCGUGGUGGUGCGUGCCUGUAGUCCCAGCUACUUGGGAGGCUGAGGCAGGAGAAUCGCUGGAACCUGGGAGGCUGAGAUUGCAGUGAGCCAAGAUUGGGCCACUGCACUCCAGCCUGGGUGACAGUGCGAGACUCCGUCUCAA